ensembl:lncRNA
UUGCUUCAAGUGAGAGAACAGUGAAAGCAGUAUGGGAGAACUACCAAGCUCUGCAGGAAAGCCUCAUCGAGCCCUGACGUCGUGAGAAGCCCGCGCUGAAGUCUGUCAACAGCUCCUCUCUAGGUAGAGGAUAUAAAGUUCAGAGACGUAACAUUCGGGUCCUGGCCGGCGUUCUUAUAAGUGGUCCACGGCGGUGGGGGUCGAUGAGAUAGACCUGAGAGACCGGCAGUGAAUCAGCAACCAGGUGAAUAUUAACACUCAGACACCUCGCGUAAAACGUUUAGGCUCGCCCAGAGGGGCUGGUAGCAUUCCUAAAAGUAAAGGCUCGCCUGAAAAAGGGCUGGAAGCAUUUUUAGAAGGGUUUCUAGAAGUAAAGGCUCGCCUGAAAAAGGGCUGGAAGCAUUUUUAGAUAAACCUCGUCCAUAAAACGUAGUACGCGUUGAAAAGGUAUUGUUGUUGUUUUAUUUUUGUUGGUGGAAUGAGUUGAUUUUACAGCACAAUAAGGAGGCUGAACUAUUCCACUAUUUUGUUUGCUGUUGGCCACCCAAGUACUGGUGAAAAGAGAGAAACAGGUCGUGUUGACACCGCUUUCAAGAAUAGCUUCAAAGUAGAAGGCCGUGUCAACUACCUCUCUCGAUUCUCGUGCCAGAGAAGCACUGUUGUUGGUGGUGAUGUGACACUGCUAAUGAUGGACCCCUAAGAAGAUGAAAUGUAUGUAGAAUCAGAAUCAUUACUUUGACAGGAUUUAAUUUAAGGUGACAUAUUACACUAAAGAAAAAACAAAAACCAGUCAGCUAAAU